rnacentral:rRNA from 1 species
CAGGUUUACCUGUGUGACUGCGUACCUUUUGUAUAAUGGGUCAGCGACUUAUAUUCUGUAGCAAGGUUAACCGUAUAGGGGAGCCGGAGGGAAACCGAGUCUUAAUUGGGCGUUAAGUUGCAGGGUAUAGACCCGAAACCCGGUGAUCUAGCCAUGGGCAGGUUGAAGGUUGGGUAACACUAACUGGAGGACCGAACCGACUAAUGUUGAAAAAUUAGCGGAUGACCUGUGGCUGGGGGUGAAAGGCCAAUCAAACCGGGAGAUAGCUGGUUCUCCCCGAAAGCUAUUUAGGUAGCGCCUCGUGAAUUCAUCUCCGGGGGUAGAGCACUGUUUCGGCUAGGGGGCCAUCCCGGCUUACCAACCCGAUGCAAACUGCGAAUACCGGAGAAUGUUAUCACGGGAGACACACGGCGGGUGCUAACGUCCGUCGUGAAGAGGGAAACAACCCAGACCGCCAGCUAAGGUCCCAAAGUCAUGGUUAAGUGGGAAACGAUGUGGGAAGGCCCAGACAGCCAGGAUGUUGGCUUAGAAGCAGCCAUCAUUUAAAGAAAGCGUAAUAGCUCACUGGUCGAGUCGGCCUGCGCGGAAGAUGUAACGGGGCUAAACCAUGCACCGAAGCUGCGGCAGCGAACGUAUCACCCAAGACAACUUUACGGAGUUGACGAUUGACGGAGCGAAGCGACGUCAAAGCGUUCAUUAAAGUCGAGUUGGCUUAGGGAUACGUUCGUUGGGUAGGGGAGCGUUCUGUAAGCCUGUGAAGGUGUGUCGUGAGGCAUGCUGGAGGUAUCAGAAGUGCGAAUGCUGACAUAAGUAACGAUAAAGCGGGUGAAAAGCCCGCUCGCCGGAAGACCAAGGGUUCCUGUCCAACGUUAAUCGGGGCAGGGUGAGUCGACCCCUAAGGCGAGGCCGAAAGGCGUAGUCGAUGGGAAACGGGUUAAUAUUCCCGUACUUGGUGUUACUGCGAAGGGGGGACGGAGAAGGCUAUGUUGGCCGGGCGACGGUUGUCCCGGUUUAAGCGUGUAGGUGUGUGUUCCAGGUAAAUCCGGUUCACUUUAACACUGAGGCGUGACGACGAGGCACUACGGUGCUGAAGCAACAAAUGCCCUGCUUCCAGGAAAAGCCUCUAAGCAUCAGGUAACAUCAAAUCGUACCCCAAACCGACACAGGUGGUCAGGUAGAGAAUACCAAGGCGCUUGAGAGAACUCGGGUGAAGGAACUAGGCAAAAUGGUGCCGUAACUUCGGGAGAAGGCACGCUGACACGUAG